UCCCUGAUCUCUUCUUUCCAUAAUCUUCUCACUCCAUCUUGAUCUCUGCUUCAUCUCUCUCAUUCUCCUCCCUCUCUCUCCAAUGCAUCAGCCGUGAAGAAACACACGCCGUGAGGCUCCUCUUCUAUCUCUCUCCAUUGUAGCAGUCGUGAAGCUCCUACCCGAAGAAACACACACCGUGAAGCUCCUCUCCAUAGGUACUUGGCAUAAAGCAACAAACCAAUCUGAUACAUAAGGUCUUGAAAAAGAAUGGACUUCUUGAUGGCUCUAAUCAGUCUAGGUUGAGACUCACCAUCCCAAGAGAGCCUGAACUUGAAACAUCACAAAGGGCACAAAGGAUCAGGCCCAAGCAUAGUACAAAGGUUGUAGGACACAUUCUUUCAGCUAUUGCCUCGUUUAAAGCACGUCCUUUGAAUAGAAAAGUUGGUACCUACUAUCUACAAGAGAGUAUCUUUGAGAUUAUUAUAUUAGGUCUUUGAACAAACUACUCAGCAGGUUUUUAUUUAUUCUAUUUUGAGAUAGCAUGCUUUUCUAUUUUACGGAUUCUUGCAGCUCCUUCAAUGCCACUCAUACAGAAAAGCACACCAGGGUUGCCUGAGUUUCAAGAAUUCCACUUGAAGACAUCCCAGAGGGCCAUGCAACCCUCAUUUACUGCUUCAUUUUCAUUGCAGCAUUCCAAUAAUUCAGAUAAAGUCAGAAGUUAUAGGUGAGCUAAAAGGGGAAAGAAAUGAAGAAUUGUCCCAAUUCAAAGCUCGGCCUCUAAAUAAGAAGAUAUUGUUGAGUAAGGGGGAUAUGGGUGUCUUUAUAAGUAGCAAGAGAGAAACCACUACCCAUGGUAUGCCAUUGUUCUCAUUUAAGGUGGUGCAUGAUUUGCAAUUUUCUUUGAGUUUUUUUUUUUUUGCAAGUGUUUCCUUACCAUUAUCAUUUUAAACUUCCUGACAGGAAUUUGAUUUCUAGACAGACAAGCGCCUUCAGCAGAAUCCACCAAUAGAACUGUUCAAGAAGGUAGAUGUGAAAUGUCUGAUUAUGUGGCUGCUAUGAUGAAAUUGCUUGUUGUAAACUAGGAGGAGCUUUCAUGUCCCAACCUUUUAUACUUCUUCUAUCCAUAUAUGUUACCAACUUAUCCUUCCUUUCUAAUGGUAAAAUGCUAGCUCUCAUUGAAGUCUGAACUUCAGCAGCAGAAUACCAUAGCUGAGUCGGCAUUGUCUCAGCCCACUCGUAUAUUGAUUAAGG